rnacentral:lncRNA from 1 species
UGUAAAAUUGUUUUGUGUUUAAAUAAAACAAAGUUUUUGAUUCAAUGGAAUAUCUUAUUGAGCAUCACAACUAUGUCAAGCACUAUGGCAGAAAACUAUAAAUAAUAUAUACAAAAACUAGUUAUAAGGAGCGCUUUCGAUUAUACCUUAUUGAGGCUAUCAACACAACAUUACUGUGGUUGGAUUCCCGUGAGUUUAGUGUCCAGGUAAAUUUCCAUACCACGAGAAAGACAGAGUUUGAAUGGGCACGGGGUUCAAACUUUUGCAAAGCUGGCGACUUUGCAUCUCUCUCGUGCUUCUGAAGGAGUCAAACUUGAUAUUCAUCCAUCCAUAUGUUAAACUCUUCUUGCUGCUUCCCUCUUUGCUUGCCUCCUGGAAUAUCCUUGUCUCCAACAAGAAGAUAGGCAUCAUUCAGAACACCAAGCUCAAAGAGAAGUUGAUCGUUAAUCUGCUGUGGAUGGCACAGUCCUAGUUUCUUUGUGAGAUGUACUUGCACUUGUAGUGAAGAGCAAGAUCUGGAAGGUCUAAUACAUAAAAUUUUUUAUUUGUUGCAAUUUUAAAUGAAAUUUUCAUUUAUAUUAAUAUUUGACAUGGUG